UACGAAGGGGGCUAGCGUUGUUCGGAAUUACUGGGCGUAAAGCGCACGUAGGCGGACAUUUAAGUCAGGGGUGAAAUCCCAGAGCUCAACUCUGGAACUGCCUUUGAUACUGGGUGUCUUGAGUAUGGAAGAGGUGAGUGGAAUUCCAAGUGUAGAGGUGAAAUUCGUAGAUAUUCGGAGGAACACCAGUGGCGAAGGCGGCUCACUGGUCCAUUACUGACGCUGAGGUGCGAAAGCGUGGGGAGCAAACAGG
rnacentral:rRNA from 1 species